CCUACGGGUGGCAGCAGUCGAGAAUCAUUCACAAUGGGGGAAACCCUGAUGGUGCGACGCCGCGUGGGGGAAUGAAGGUCUUCGGAUUGUAAACCCCUGUCAUGUGGGAGCAAAUUAAAAAGAUAGUACCACAAGAGGAAGAGACGGCUAACUCUGUGCCAGCAGCCGCGGUAAUACAGAGGUCUCAAGCGGUGUUCGGAAUCACUGGGCGUAAGGCGUGCGUAGGCUGUUUCGUAAGUCGUGUGUGAAAGGCGCGGGCUCAACCCGCGGACGGCACAUGAUACUGCGAGACUAGAGUAAUGGAGGGGGAACCGGAAUUCUCGGUGUAGCAGUGAAAUGCGUAGAUAUCGAGAGGAACACUCGUGGCGAAGGCGGGUUCCUGGACAUUAACUGACGCUGAGGCACGAAGGCCAGGGGAGCGAAAGGGAUUAGAUACCCCGGUAGUC
rnacentral:rRNA from 1 species